rnacentral:lncRNA from 1 species
ACUUCUCCACCAAAAAAUAACACUGCAUCUCUCCUUCGCUCGGCCAUCACACUAGCAACAGAAACACCCAUUAAACCCCCAAAACCUAAGAAGAUUUAAUUCAAAGCCCACUACACAAACCCUAGAUCUGAUGUCUUUAGCAAGUUUUCACUGUCCGUGGCUUGACAUUUUGGCUAGCUUUAACAAAUUUCAUUCAAGUUUUGUUGGAGUCGUCUGACUGUUUCUGCUCGACUAUUUAAAAUUAUAGAAUAAAUUUUAGAUAAAAGUGGUCAAAUGAGGUACAUUUCUUCCACUUCUCUGCUUAUUAUAGAUUCAUGACAUUUUCAUGUCGAUUUUGUACGACUGUUUAUGUUUUAGCCAAAUGAAUUCACUUAAUUCCUGGGAACCCUCUGCUCCAUGAAUAUCUUCUCUAUUCCACUCAACAUUUUCAACCAAAGUUGUUCAUGUUACCAUAAUCAACUUACGCCAUAAAGUUUCAUGAAACAUUUUCACGAAAAAAAUUUCAUAUACUCAAUUGAUAAUUUUUGUUCUCUGGAUGUUCUGCUAAUGUUUAUUUUGACCUAUAAUUUUCUUUUGGACAUUCUAUAUACAUGUCAUGUUAAUAUAUGAUUUCUAUACUGCUGCACACCUGGUGUUUGAUAAUAUGUCUGAAACAAUUCAAUAAUAUUGUUUUUCUUGCUUCUUUCCUUUUCUUCUUCUCAUUUUUUUUCAAUUGAAUAAACAAGCGAGGACUGUAAUGAAGUUGCUGGAUGGUGAAAAUUGAGAGGUGAGAACUGAACUUUUCAUUUCUCGAAAAUAAUUCUGACAAUAUUUUCUAUAUCUAAGACACUACCGAACUUAUGUGCAUUAGUUAAACACACUUGAAGUAUUCUUAGAGGGUAAUAUAAUUCCCAAGUACUUUUGUGUUAUUUUAGAGUGUUCUUACAAAUGGCUAUAACGUUGAAACAUUAUUUUUAGUUCUCAAGCACCAAACUUUACUGUAAUCCUCGAGUUCUUCUUCAUAUGAGAAAGUGACAAACUAAUAAAUGGAUACACCUCUAGAUAAUGAA